AGUCGUCUCAGUUCGGAUUGGAGUCUGCAACUCGACUCCAUGAAGCUGGAUUCGCUAGUAAUCGCGCAUCAGCCAUGGCGCGGUGAAUACGUUCCCGGGCCUUGUACACACCGCCCGUCAAGCCAUGGGAGCCGGGGGUGCUUGAAGUGCGUCGCCGCAAGGCGCGCCCUAGAGCAAAACCGGUGACUGGGGCUAAGUCGUAACAAGGUAGC
rnacentral:rRNA from 1 species